rnacentral:rRNA from 1 species
CCUCCGGGCGGCAGCAGUGGGGGAUAUUGCACAAUGGGGGAAACCCUGAUGCAGCGACGCCGCGUGUGGGAAGACGGUUCUCUGGAUUGUAAACUACUGUCCCCAGGGACGAAGAUGACGGUACCUGGGGAGGAAGCUCCGGCUAACUACGUCCCAGCAGCCGCGGUACUACGUAGGGAGCGAGCGUUGUCCGGAAUUACUGGGUGUAAAGGGAGCGUAGGCGGGGAUGAAAGUUGGGUGUAAAAACUACCGGCUCAACUGGUAGUCGUACUAAAAACUGCAGCACUUGAUUGAAGUAGAGGCAGGCGGAAUUCCUAGGGUAGCGGUGAAAUGCGUAGAUAUUAGGAGGAACACCAGUGGCGAAGGCGGCCUGCUGGGCUGUUACUGACGCUGAGGCUCGAAAGUGUGGGGAGCAAACAGGAUUAGAUACCCCUGUAGUC